GGGGGGAAGAGAGGGGCGGAGAAGAAGAAAAAAAAAAAGAAAAAGAAGAAAGGAGGCGCGGCGAGCAGCCGAUCCAUGCGAGGCAGAGAAACAGCGGCCGAAGAAGAAGACUUGCGCACGAUCGUUGCGUGACGUGCUGGGAAGAAAGAGUCGCAUUGCAGCAAGAGAGGGAGAUCUGUCCCUAGUGUGCGGCGCGACGACGAGAAGGCUUAUUCGCUCUUGGCGCACAGCGCGACGACAGAGAAAGAAACUUAAAAGUGUUGUGUGCGACGGGGAAGGAGUGGCUGGAUCACAGGGAGGCCAGAUCCUGACGGCUUUGGCGAGAUUUGUUUCAGACUGGGCGUGCUGCGACUUUCUUGGCGAUUUCUACUCAUUUGCAGCGGCGUGUGCUGACUUCGGCAAUAGCACAUGCGGUGGCGCUUAGGGAUUCGCGUACCUUUUUGAAACCAAACAUCAGGUUGGUUGUAAAUGAAAAAUAUAAUAUGACAAUUGAGAUAAAUAAAACCGUUACCGAGUAUCAAAGAGGAAGUAUAUAAGAUGAAUUCUAUCGUGGAUAUGAUCCUCAGUCGUACGGGGCUAGGAAGUCCCAUACUAGAUGGGGUUGGGAGGUUGUUAAUGACACAUAUACUGGACACUGUACGGGAACAGCUGAUAAAAGCGGCACUCAUAUCAGACGGGGUAUGAGGUUGGCCGAAAAAAAUAGUGUCUAUUACCGAACGAGAUGUGAGGACGACCGAUAAUUGUAGAAGAAACAUUAAGUAUCUAUGGGGUCCAAGAGUACUGGUUGAGUGAAAUGAUACUAAUACACAAAAUAAAAUGUGAUUGAUUUGAUAUGUGUAUUAUACUUGGAUGCGAUUAUGAUAUGAUCAGAUAGUAUUUGUUGUUGAAAAUGAAAAUUUUCUGAAUAUGAACUUGAUGUAGUUGAAUGUGAAUCUGAUUCAAUUUUGAUGUGAAGUGAAGAAA